UGAGGAAUAUUGCACAAUGGAGGAAACUCUGAUGCAGCAACGCCGCGUGAAGGAUGAAGGUUUUCGGAUUGUAAACUUCUUUUAUUGGGGAAGAUAAUGACGGUACCCAAUGAAUAAGCCACGGCUAACUACGUGCCAGCAGCCGCGGUAAUACGUAGGUGGCAAGCGUUGUCCGGAAUUACUGGGUGUAAGGGGCGAGUAGGCGGGUUUUCAAGUCAGAUGUGAAAUCUGGAGGCUCAACCUCCAAACUGCAUUUGAAACUGAAAGUCUUGAGUGAUGGAGAGGCAGGCGGAAUUCCCGGUGUAGCGGUGGAAUGCAUAGAUAUCGGGAGGAACACCAGUGGCGAAGGCGGCCUGCUGGACAUUAACUGACGCUGAGGAGCGAAAGCGUGGGGAGCAAACA
rnacentral:rRNA from 1 species